UACGUAGGGUGCGAGCGUUAAUCGGAAUUACUGGGCGUAAAGCGUGCGCAGGCGGUUCGUUAAGUCAGAUGUGAAAGCCCCGGGCUCAACCUGGGAACUGCAUUUGAAACUGGCGGGCUUGAGUGUGGCAGAGGGGGGUGGAAUUCCGCGUGUAGCAGUGAAAUGCGUAGAGAUCAGGAAGAACACCGGUGGCGAAGGCGCUCUGCUGGACCUUAACUGACACUGAGGGACGAAAGCUAGGGGAGCGAAUGGG
rnacentral:rRNA from 1 species